rfam:Aedes albopictus isolate Foshan contig81648, whole genome shotgun sequence.
UGUACUGUGGCUUAGUUGGUUAAAGCGCCAGUCUAUUGAAUACGGAGUUAUGGGUUCGAAUCCCACCAGAAUGC